CACACCUCCUCCGGCGCCGCCUUUGAUGAAGUGGAAAGAUUGAGGUGGGAGGAGGGCCCAGCUGUGUUAAUGGAAAUUGCCAUAUAUGGUCUAAAAAUGGUCUAGAAAAAAGUUCGUCCAAAAUGAAAAUGAAAUUUGAUCGGAAAUUUUCAAAUUUUAUCCGGCAUUUUUUCAAUUUUAUUUCGACUCCCAAAUCUAUUGGGUAAAUCACAUCAAUGAAUAGUAACAACUGUUUAAAAUCAGGAAAACGUAG